GACGAACGCUGGCGGCGUGCUUAACACAUGCAAGUCGAACGGAAAGGCCCUGCUUGUGUGGGGUGCUCGAGUGGCGAACGGGUGAGUAACACGUGAGUAACCUGCCCUUGACUAUGGGAUAACUUCAGGAAACUGGGGCUAAUAUCGGAUAGGAGCUCCUGCGGCAGGGUGGGGGUGGGAAAGUUUCGGCGGAGGGGGAUGGACUCGCGGCUUAUCAGCUUGUUGGUGGGGUAGUGGCUUACCAAGGCUUGGACGGGUAGCCGGCCUGAGAGGGUGACCGGCCCCAUUGGGACUGCGAUACGGCCCAGACUCCUACGGGAGGCAGCGGUGGGGAAUAUUGCACAGUGGGCGGAAGCCUAAUGCGGCAACGCCGCGUGCGGGAUGACGGCCUUCGGGUUGUAAACCGCUUUCGCCUGUGACGAAGCGUGAGUGACGGUAAUGGGUAAAGAAGCACCGGCUAACUACGUG
rnacentral:rRNA from 1 species